CGGACGGGUGAGUAACGCGUGGGUAACCUGCCCUGUACAGGGGGACAACAGCUGGAAACGACUGCUAAUACCGCAUAAGCCCACGGCUCGGCAUCGAGCAGGGGGAAAAGGAGCAAUCCGCUUUGAGAUGGCCUCGCGUCCGAUUAGCUAGUUGGUGAGAUAACGGCCCACCAAGGCGACGAUCGGUAGCCGGACUGAGAGGUUGAACGGCCACAUUGGGACUGAGACACGGCCCAG
rnacentral:rRNA from 1 species